rnacentral:rRNA from 1 species
UGACCUCAAAUCGAGUAGGACUACCCGCUGAACUUAAGCAUAUCAAUAAGCGGAGGAAAAGAAACUAACAAGGAUUCCCCUAGUAACGGCGAGUGAAGAGGGAAGAGCUCAAAUUUUGAAUCUGGCGUCUCUGGCGUCCGAAUUGUAAUCUAGAGAAGUGUUUUCCGUGACGGACCGUGCACAAGUCUCCUGGAAUGGAGCGUCAUAGAGGGUGAGAAUCCCGUAUAUGGCAUGGACUCCCGUCGCUCUGUGAUACACUCUCGACGAGUCGAGU